UACGAAGGGGGCUAGCGUUGCUCGGAAUUACUGGGCGUAAAGGGAGCGUAGGCGGACUGUUUAGUCAGAGGUGAAAGCCCAGGGCUCAACCUUGGAAUAGCCUUUGAUACUGGCAGUCUUGAGUACGGAAGAGGUAUGUGGAACUCCGAGUGUAGAGGUGAAAUUCGUAGAUAUUCGGAAGAACACCAGUGGCGAAGGCGACAUACUGGUCCGUUACUGACGCUGAGGCUCGAAAGCGUGGGGAGCAAACAGG
rnacentral:rRNA from 1 species